ACUGGUUGGGAGAUGAAAUAUGCUAGUUUGGCUGCGUGCAAACUCUCAUUUUACUUUCCCAAUUUAUCUGGCUGGGAAUGUUGGUAGAUGGUUAGGCAAAACUAUGAUUUCUGCAGUUGGAUUUGGAUUUGGAUCUGGAUCAUCACCUAUAGAGUGUUGUAUAGAGUGAACUUGCUGUGAAGAGAAUGCAUUGCCUUGUGUUCACAAGAAGCACGCAAUUCUGUAUAGACUACAGACCUGGCACAGGAGUUCAUGCCGCAGCCAGACAUGAGAACAGUUACAAUUAUGCUUCACUGAGAUCAACAGCA
rnacentral:misc_RNA from 1 species